rnacentral:tRNA from 1 species
CCGUCACUAGCUCAUCGGGAUAGAGCAAACAACACCAGAUGUUGUUGUAUGGUGCGGGGUUCGAGUCCUCGGUGGCGGUCCA